rnacentral:misc_RNA from 1 species
AGAGAUCUGCUGAGGCGAAAGCUUUAUUAGAUGAGAUGUUGUCUAGGAAAAUGAAGCCCAAUUGUGUUACUUAUAAUAAUUUGAUUCAUGGGUUUUGUUGCGAAGGGAAUUUAGAGGAAGCGAAGAGNNNNNNNNNGAGGAAAACCGGAUGCUGAUUGUUAUGUAAGGUUCGUCCACUACUUGUGUCAAGGUGGGGAUUUUGAUACAGCAUUGAGAAUUUGUAAGGAGAGCAUUGAGAAGCGAUGGGUUCCGAAUCUAGCGACUAUGAAGUCACUGGUGAACGGGCUUG